UACAGAGGGGGCAAGCGUUGUUCGGAAUUACUGGGCGUAAAGGGCGCGUAGGCGGCCUGUUAAGUCGAACGUGAAAUCCCCGGGCUCAACCCGGGAACUGCGUCCGAUACUGGCAGGCUUGAAUCCGGGAGAGGGAUGCGGAAUUCCAGGUGUAGCGGUGAAAUGCGUAGAGAUCCGGAGGAACACCAGUGGCGAAGGCGACACGCUGGGCCGUACCUGACGCUAAAGCGCGACAGCAUGGGGAGCAAACGGG
rnacentral:rRNA from 1 species